rnacentral:rRNA from 1 species
AUUGAACGCUGGCGGCAUGCCUAACACAUGCAAGUCGAGCGGAGCGGCGGACGGGUGAGUGAUUCCUAGGAAUCUGACUGGUAGUGGUUGCUAACGUCCGGCAACGGGCGCUAAUACCGCAUACUCUCAGAUGAGCCUAGGUCGGAUUAGCUAGUUGGUGGGGUAAAGGCCUACCAAGGAGACGAUCCGUAACGGGUCUGAGAGGAGGGUGAGUCACAGUGGAAAUGAGAAAUGGUCCAGAGUCCUAAGGGAGGCAGCAGUGGGGAAUAGUGGACAAUGGGCGAAAGCCUGAAGCAGCAAUGCCGCGUGUGUGAAGAAGGUUUUCGGAUUGGAAAGCACUAUAAGUUGGGAGGCGGUACCAACAGAAGAAGCACCGGCUAACUACGUGCCAGCAGCCGCGGUAAUUC